rnacentral:rRNA from 1 species
GAUGAACGCUGGCGGCGUGCCUAAUACAUGCAAGUCGAGCGAACGGACGAGAAGCUUGCUUCUCUGAUGUUAGCGGCGGACGGGUGAGUAACACGUGGAUAACCUACCUAUAAGACUGGGAUAACUUCGGGAAACCGGAGCUAAUACCGGAUGAUAUUUUGAACCGCAUGGUUCAAAAGUGAAAGACGGUCUUGCUGUCACUUAUAGCUGGAUCCGCGCUGCAUUAGCUAGUUGGUAAGGUAACGGCUUACCAAGGCAACGAUGCAUAGCCGACCUGAGAGGGUGAUCGGCCACACUGGAACUGGGACACGGUCCAGACUCCUACGAGAGGCAGCAGUAGGGAAUCGUCCGCAAUGGGCGAAAGCCUGACGGAGCAACGCCGCGUGAGUGAUGAAGGUCUUCGGAUCGUAAAACUCUGUUAUUAGGGAAGAACAUAUGUGUAAGUAACUGUGCACAUCUUGACGGUACCUAAUCAGAAAGCCACGGCUAACUACGUG